UACGGAGGGGACUAGCGUUGUUCGGAAUUACUGGGCGUAAAGCGUGCGCAGGCGGUGAUGUAAGACAGAUGUGAAAUCCCCGGGCUCAACCUGGGAACUGCACUUGUGACUGCAUAGCUAGAGUACGGUAGAGGGGGAUGGAAUUCCGCGUGUAGCAGUGAAAUGCGUAGAUAUGCGGAGGAACACCGAUGGCGAAGGCAAUCCCCCUGGACCUGUACUGACGCUCAUGCACGAAAGCGUGGGGAGCAAACAGG
rnacentral:rRNA from 1 species